CAGGAGCGGGUCCCUUUGCCAGGGCAGGGGGACAUACAUCUUUAUCGCCUGUUUGCAGUCAUUUGCCGCGUUAUCGUGCAGCCAUUCGGCAUUUUACUGAAAGCAGGACAGAAAUUAUUGCGGGAAACGACAGAGGAGCUCCGGUUGUGUCGAAGUGCAACACUGAAGAGAAUGCUUCUUUCUUCAGUAAAUUAACAUAUUCCUGGUUUGGCGGGUUUCUUGCAUCCAGAGAGUGCUAUUUAAGAAAACAAGUUUUCCUCGAGCCAUCUUUGAUUUUGCCAUUAUGGCAAACAUUUAAGUAUUUAUUGAUUAAAGUUUAAUUUCUGAAAGUUACAGCUGACAUUCUGGCUUUUAUGAGUCCACAAGUAAUGAAAGAUUGUGGCCAGUGAAACCCAGCCUAGUUUGUGUGGGAGUGGCUGUGGCUAUGCUGUUGCCCGGUUUUUGUGGUUCUCUCACAAACUCUUCUCCAUCAGUUACACCAUCUUCUACACACAACAUUCUUACAGCAGUCAAAAUCAAGAUUGCAGUUGUUGGCCUGGUCUACAAAAGGGUAGUCAUGUCAGCAUUCCUGAGGGCACUUUAGUUGCUGUUGUGGAACAGGUUGGAUCUGGAAAGUCAUCUUUUCUUUCUGCUGUUCUUAAAGAAAUGGAGAAACUUGAAGAAAUGGUUCAGAGUAGAAUAAGAUUGUCCGUCUUCCCCUGCCCUUUCCACUCCUCAAUACUCCAGUUAAGCAGAACUAAUGAACAGAUAUUCAGAGGGCAUAUAGGUUAAUGUAAAAAAAAAUAUUUAAAUUUUAAUGGUGCUCAGGUUUUGGAAGGAAUUACUGGUAUUACUUCGAGGCAAAGCUGGAAUUUCAAAUUUAUUUUUAAAUUAUGUUUUAUGUGUUCAGAAAGCCCAAAUAAAACAAAAUUGUUUCCAAUUCUUUUUAGGGUUCUGUGGCAUAUGUUUCUCAGCAGGCCUGGAUUUGAAAUGACAGUUUACAGGAAAAUAUUCUCUUUGGUUCCAAUGGUUUGGUUCUAAACAGGCCAUACUACAGACUUGUUUUAGAGUCUUGUGCUUUACUGCCAGAUUUGGAACAGUUACUGAAUGGAGACCAAAAAAAGAUUGGAGAAAGGGGUGUCAAUGUAAGUGGAGGGCAGAAGCAGAGAGUGAGCCUUGCUAGAGCUGUGUGCAGCAAGGCUGACUUGUAUCUCCUGGAUGACCCUCUCCUGCUGUACAUGUACAUAUUGGAAACCAUCUUUUUGAGAAGCUAAUUGAAGCUAACCCUUCAGAUCUCCUAAAAAUCAAGGCUGGAAUUGUUGGAAGAACAGGAGCUGGAAAAUCAACACUCACAAAUUCCUUAUUUAGAUUUUUGGAGGGAUGUGAAGGCAAAAUAAUUACUGAUGGAAUUGAUAUAUCAACUAUUGGACUCCUUGACUUAAGUGGAAAUCUUAACAUCAUUCCACAGGUGAGGCAUGGUUGAGAGACAACUAUUUAUUAUUUUUUUACUAACAUAAGACAUUGGAUUUUUAGGGGAAAUUAUAACCUCUAAGUCCACAGGCUGCCAAGAGACAGAGGUACCAGUGGAAUUUUGGCAAUUAAAUGGAAGAAACUUCAAAACAUGGGGACCACAAAUAUGACAUUAAGUUUUAUAUGUUGUGUUUAGUUUAACAGUCUUAGCUAGAAUAGCUACAUAUGGUGUUUUCAAAAUCCACCUGAGGACUUUUUAACUAGGUUCAACUAUGUUUGAAGCCUGUAGGGAAUAAAGUGGUGUAUACACGAGUUAUAUAUUAUGUAUUUAAACCAAUCUGCUGUGAUCUGUCAUGUAGAGCUUACUUUUUACUUCAGAAGAGGGUGGGAAACUCAAGAUUAGGUCAUAUAUUAUUAGGAUUGUCUUCAGGUGGUAUAUGUUGAAAUGCUCCAGUAUAAAGUAAAACCUAGGACACAAAUUGAAUGGUCACCUGAAGUCUUUGCACAUUCCCUGAAUGCCAUUCAUACAAACAUUUUUGUGAAUGGAUGUUAGCACUGAUUGCAAUUAAUUUAUCUGACGUUUUUAAAAGGGAGGCUUUGGUUUUUUCCUAGCCUUUUAGGAGCCUUAACCUUGGUAAUAUUUCCUGUGUGUAUCUACCCACAGACCAUGCGUAGAGAUGAUUCCAAUAUUUACACCAAAACAGAUUGAGUCUUUCCAAGAAAGAGAUGAUUAAAAGAAAAUACCUGAAGAUUCCUGCAAAUUCUUGGCUGCUUUUCCUUUGAGAACUGUACUUGGUUAGGGGAAUGGAAAAUUCACCAUUUUUAAUCAUAAUUUCUAAUUUUGAUAUAGCUUUUUGGUGUAACUAUAUUCUCAAAAAUGAGACUACAAGACCAAAAUUGAUUAUUCCACAGGUCUUCAGAACACAAUUCGUACACAUUUGGUUGUAACAUCUGUCUUGUUUUAAGAAGGUAAUGCUCUACAAAUCUGAACCACAUCUGACAGUUGUGAAUUACACAGUAUUUUCUCAACUGCAGUUGUGAGUCUGAUUUACUGUGGAUGGAGUAUAUUGGAUCCACAUCCAGACAACUGAACUGAGAGGAACCCAAUAGUGCAGUGACCUUACAGGCUGGGUUCAGAAUAGAACUGAAAGGUGAAAAAAGGGAGUCUGAAGCUUGUGAAGAGUAGGUGCAGUCUGGAGUGUUGAACUGCAUAGGUCAGGAGAGUGGAUGAAGGUAAAAAUCUGGGACAGAAACAAGGGCAUGGCAAAUACCAAAGCUGACUGUGUGCACGUAGCUUCUUCAGGUCAGCCAAAUACACCUCAUACAAACAGCUUUUAAGAAUCACAUUAAAGUACAACAAAAUAAUUUAAUGUUGUUCCAGUGCAAGUAAAAUGAAGUUUAAAUGAAGAACAGGCACAAGGUCUGCUACCACUUCAACUGUCCUGUUUGGUCACUGAGUUCCCUCAAAACUGUCACUGUCCUGUUUGCAUGUGACUGUUGUUGGCCUCUUAUGCCUGGGUCACGCCACUGUGACUGCACUUGGUCAAGGUGUCUGUUCAUCUCUAGGAGCAUUAGUUCAGUCUGUAAAUCUUUGUAGGUAUUCUUGUUGAUGAAUAUGUCGUCUUUCCUAUAGGAAAUUAAGGAUAUUUAAAUUAGAAUCAUAGCCUUUUAAUUUCUCUUAUCAGUGUUCAUGAAUGUAGUCUCAAGUGCUUCACAAACCUUAAUAAUAAUUCAUGUGCUGUGGCAGUUGCCAGGUGCUGGGCAGGUCUUUAGUCAGCCACAAAACCAGAGCACAGAGAAUGCACAAGAAAUCUCUUGCCCUUUAUGUUUCACCUUAAUGAAGAACUUAGCUCACAGAGACUGCACACAAUUUUUGUCCUCCAUUCACCAGCUUCAAACUGUUAAAAUUUCCCUUGCAAAGAUCCAUUCCCAAGAUUAUUUGUCUUAGUUCCUUCUAUUAAUGUAAGGAUUUAUGACAGCCCAUUUUAGGAUCAUGUCAGAAUUGUGCAUUCACAUUCUGCUGCUAUUUGGGACCCCAUCUUGUUUUCUGGGACAGUGCAGUCAAAUCUGGAUCCACUUGGAAAACACUCUGAUCUUGAACUGUGGGAGGUGCUGGAAUUAUGUGACUUAAAGGAUUUUGUCCACUCUCUGCCAAAGAAGCUCCCCCAUGAGAUUUCAGAAGGUGGUGAAAAUCUCAGGUACAUAAUCAAGUGCUAAUGCUGUUAUUUUCCAGUACUGUAAAACUAUGUGGUCCUUCCAAGGAAUUUACUUCAAAAGCUAUCAGGAUGGAAAUGACACCUCUCCUGUCAUUCUCAGUAGAACUAUUCUGGUAGUGCAAAUUUCUUUGAGGUGACCAACUGGUCACAGUGGUAUAAAUUCUGAUGGCCUGUGCCAUCAGAAGCAAAGGGAACAGACUAUUUUCAGCUCAAGUGUAUAAGUAAGUGUGAAGAAGGGGGGCGUGGUGUUGCAAUUCAUGCAGCACCUCAUUAAAUUUUGGUAGAAAAGUGCUUAUUUAUUUAAACUUAAAAAAAUAAAUCAAACCAGAAAAAAAACAACAGAAAACAAUGAAUAAAAAAAACCCCAGCAAAUUCGAAACCCACCAAAGUGCAGAGAGCUUAUUCUUUUGUUCUAUUUGCUUAAGCAAAACAACUCAGUUUUAACUUUGAAACAUUAACCCAUAGUAAGGAGGGUGACACUUGAAAUAAAAGAACUCUAAACUGAGGUGACAAAUAUUGAAGCUUUCAGCAGCAAAGGGACAGGUCUUAAAUAGUGUACUGAGUAUAAACCUGAAUUUUUCAGACAGAUAAUUUUCAGGAGGACAUUUCCUGAAGGUGCAUACUACAGCUAACAUGUAGAAGUAUCCAAACUGUUACACUGAACAUUACUAAAAAGUGGUUCAGCAUUCAAUCAGGCUGAUUCCUAGUGCCCACUAUAAUGUGAAUAUAAAACUGAAGACUGGGUUUAAGAUACAAAGUUCAGCCAUGGGUGUUGAAGAGUCCUACUUUAACUACCAUUGAUAUGUUGAAGAAGAAGAAACAAAAUUCCAAAGCAGGAUGAACAUAUUUCAGUAGUCUUUUUAGAAGCAUAAAGUAUUGUUAGGAAAGAAGUACAGACAUGCUCCACGGUAAUCUCAGCUUUAUCUUGUGCUCUCUUUCCUUUGUGUCCCUGGCUUGCCCUUCUCAAAUGUAUUUUUAACAGUGCUGGGCAGAGACAGCUGGUCUGUCUGGCCUGUGCUCUGCUAUGGAAGACAAAAAUCUGGUUCUAGAUGAGGUGACAGCUUCUGUUGACAUGGAAACAGAUAACUUUGUGCAGUCCACCAUCAAAGGAGUGUUUCACAACUGUACGGUGUUAACUACAGCCCACAGGUUACACACAGUCAUGGAUUCAGAGUGCUUGUUCUGGAUGCAUGAAGGAUUCUAGAAUAUGAUACACCACAGACUCUGUUACAGUGAAAAAGUGCCUUUUCUGAAAUGGUUGCAGAGGCCGGGAUAAGAAGCUAGCUUCAGAAUGCAGCUGGGAGAGCUGCAGACUGAGCAAUGGCAAAGCCUGAGAGAAAAGAAAAUGCUGGACUAGUGUCAGCAAAGCCAUUCCUUCUCUUCCAGCAUGCUGUACCCCUCAUAUUUGACUAUAACUUCUGAAAAGAGGGUGCAGUGGAGGCAGAAGCAGCAGGAAAUGCCCCUGCUGUUUCUGUGCAAAGCAAACCCCCUAACAGGCUUAGGGUGGGCAGGGAAAGGCACUUUUGCCUUAAGCACAUCAGCCAGGCUCUGCAGCCUCUCCUCUCCUCACACACCUGAUGUUGGAGACUCGCUCCAGGAAACCAGGAAGGGCCACUUGGCUGAGUGCAGAACUGUCUCAACCCACCAAACACCAGGGCAACAGCCAGGACAAAGCCAUGUGCUAGCUCUGCAGCUUGGCACACACCCCUGACCUUCCUCCUCCAAACAGGAAUUCCCUGAGCUUCAUUGGUAUUUGGGAAUUGGGUUCCAGUCUUGCCAUGUGGGACUGCUCAUAGGAAGAGUGGGAUAGGCAGGGGACCAGAGCAGUCCUGAAGAAUGAGGCUCAUAAGGGGCCAGGACUCCAUCAUUCCCUCUAACAGGAAGGAGCAUGGAGCAGAACCUGCUUAUGCCCUUCUCCCACUUCAUUCCCCACAGCACUCAAAAAUCCCACAUGCACCACCCUCCCAGGAGCUGCUUCCCUCAGCCCUGCCUGUUGCCUUGCUCUACACUUUCCUGUAGUAUCACAGAGAAACUAGAAAGAAGUUGAGGAGGAACUCUCCCCUUCCCUCACAGGAAGAGACACGUUUCUGCUUUUUGCCAGCUUUGAAACAUUUUUUUAAAUACUGUAAUUGUUCAGGCUCUGCACACUUCACAGCUCCCCAAGACAACGCAGAUGUACAAACUCACAGCUGACACAACCUCAUCUUCUACACUUCAAGGGAGUUUGAGGAAGACCGAAUUUCCUUGAGAAAGUGAAAGAAGACAGAUCCAAGGGAUAGAAAUUGUUUUAUUAAAAAAAUCUAAAAGGUUAUUUAUAAAAUGCAUUUCAUCAUCUGCACUGGGAUACAAUUAGGGAACACACAAUUGUUGAGGCCUCUUGAUGCUUUAGGAAUUUCAACUCAUCAAACAAGCCUUAGCUAGAGAAAUUGGUUACACACCUACCACCACAGGCAAUCGUAAGGAUUACAGAAAGAUUUCAUCCUUCAAGUAUCAACUUUUUUACAGAAAGAUUUUUGGUAAGCAGCCCAUGUGCAUACCUGGAAAUAUCCACUUACUGCAGUGGACUCAUCUUUAAAAUUUGUU